GAUGAACGCUGGCGGCGUGCCUAAUACAUGCAAGUCGAGCGAACAGACGAGGAGCUUGCUCCUCUGACGUUAGCGGCGGACGGGUGAGUAACACGUGGAUAACCUACCUAUAAGACUGGGAUAACUUCGGGAAACCGGAGCUAAUACCGGAUAACAUGUUGAACCGCAUGGUUCAACAGUGAAAGACGGUCUUGCUGUCACUUAUAGAUGGAUCCGCGCCGCAUUAGCUAGUUGGUAAGGUAACGGCUUACCAAGGCAACGAUGCGUAGCCGACCUGAGAGGGUGAUCGGCCACACUGGAGCUGAGACACGGUCCAGACUCCUACGGGAGGCAGCAGUAGGGAAUCUUCCGCAAUGGGCGAAAGCCUGACGGAGCAACGCCGCGUGAGUGAAGAAGGUCUUCGGAUCGUAAAACUCUGUUAUUAGGGAAGAACAAAUGUGUGAGUAACUAUGCACGUCUUGACGGUACCUAAUCAGAAAGCCACGGCUAACUACGUG
rnacentral:rRNA from 1 species